rnacentral:lncRNA from 1 species
UUCUUUUAAUCCGUUACUUCACGGGAAGCACUAAAGACGAGAGCGGGAAACGCGAGUAUAACGGAAAGAAAACGAAAAGUGAUGAGAUUGUGAACGCGGUUGUUGAAAUGGUUGCGGCUGCGGUUACGAUUAUAGUGGUUGCGAUACCUGAAGGGUUACCGUUAGCUGUGACAUUAACAUUAGCAUAUUCGAUGAAGAGAAUGAUGAAAGAUCAAGCUAUGGUAAGGAAGCUCUCUGCUUGCGAGACAAUGGGCUCUGCUACUACUAUAUGUACCGAUAAAACCGGUACUUUGACGCUUAACCAAAUGAAGGUAACCGAUUCCUGGUUCGGUUUAGAAUCAGUAAAAGCUUCUCCUUCUUCUACUCUGUCGAGGAAAGUGGUUGAGUUGUUUCAUCAAGGAGUUGCGAUGAACACUACAGGGAGUGUGUUUAAGGCUAAAGGAUCAUCAUCGGAGUAUGAAUUCUCCGGUAGUCCGACGGAGAAAGCGAUCUUAAGCUGGGCGGUUGGGGAACUGAAGAUGGAUAUGGAGGAAGUGAUUAGAGAACACGAGGUUGUUCACGUUGAAGGUUUUAACUCAGAGAAGAAGAGAAGUGGUGUACUGAUCAAGAAGAGAAGAGAGAUCACAGUUCAUUGGAAAGGAGCUGCUGAGAAGAUUCUAGCAAUGUGUUCUACAUACUACGAUGGUUCUGGAGUCGUGAGAGAGAUUCAAGAAGACGAUAAGAUUCAAUUCGAGAAUAUCAUUCAAUCAAUGGCAGCUAAAUCCCUACGUUGCAUAGCGUUUGCUUACUCAGAUGGAGAAACCAAGAAGCUAAAAGAAGAGAAGCUGAGCUUACUCGGAAUCGUGGGGAUCAAAGAUCCGUGCAGACCAGGAGUCAAGAAAGCCGUCGAGGACUGCCAAUUCGCCGGAGUAAACAUCAAAAUGAUCACCGGAGACAACAUAUUCACGGCGAGAGCCAUCGCCGUAGAGUGCGGGAUCUUAACACCCGAAGACGAAACGAACGAGGACGCUGUGUUGGAAGGAGAGGCGUUUCGAAGCUACACUCAGCAGCAACGGCUAGAGAAGGUCGAGAGAAUCAAAGUGAUGGCGAGAUCCUCGCCGUUCGAUAAACUCCUGAUGGUGAAAUGCCUCAAGGAGCUAGGUCACGUCGUGGCGGUUACAGGCGACGGAACAAACGACGCGCCGGCGUUGAAAGAAGCAGAUAUCGGACUCUCGAUGGGGAUCCAAGGCACGGAGGUGGCGAAGGAGAGCUCCGAUAUCGUGAUCCUCGACGAUAACUUCGCCUCCGUCGCGACGGUUUUGAAAUGGGGGAGAUGCGUCUACAACAACAUCCAGAAAUUCAUUCAGUUUCAGCUCACCGUCAACGUGGCGGCGUUAGUGAUCAACUUCGUGGCGGCUGUUUCCGCCGGAGAGGUUCCGUUGACGGCGGUUCAGUUGCUGUGGGUGAAUCUGAUCAUGGACACGCUCGGCGCGUUGGCUUUAGCUACAGAGAAACCGACUAACGAUUUAAUGAAGAAUAAACCGGUCGGUCGAACCGCUCCGUUGAUUACAAACGUCAUGUGGAGGAAUCUGUUGGCCCAAGCGUUUUAUCAGAUCAGUGUUUUGCUGGUGCUUCAGUUUCGAGGGAGGUCGAUCUUUGGCGUGACGGAGAGAGUGAAGAACACUUUGAUUUUCAAUACGUUUGUGUUGUGUCAAGUGUUCAACGAGUUUAACGCGAGGAGUCUUGAGAAGAAGAAUGUGUUUAGAGGGUUGCAUAAGAACAGGCUCUUCGUUGGGAUUAUUGUUGUGACUGUGGUCUUGCAGGUUGUGAUGGUUGAGUUUCUCAAGAGGUUUGCUGAUACUGAGAGGCUGAAUUGGGGACAGUGGGGAGUUUGCUUGGCGGGACAAAUGAUGAGUCACAUCUCCCGCGACACAAACGAGCAAACCCCAUUGCAAACUCGUCUCAACAAGCUCACUUCGUCUAUAGGUAAGGUCGGUUUACUCGUAGCUUUCUUGGUUCUUCUUGUUCUUUUAGUCCGUUAUUUCACUGGAAGCACGAAAGACGAGAGCGGCAACCGCGAGUAUAAUGGUAAGAAGACGAAAAGCGAUGAAAUCGUGAACGCGGUUGUCGAAAUGGUUGCGGCUGCGGUUACGAUUAUAGUGGUUGCGAUACCUGAAGGGUUACCAUUAGCUGUGACAUUAACAUUAGCGUAUUCGAUGAAGAGAAUGAUGAAAGAUCAAGCUAUGGUGAGGAAGCUCUCAGCUUGUGAGACAAUGGGGUCUGCUACCACUAUCUGUACCGAUAAAACUGGUACUUUGACG